rnacentral:rRNA from 1 species
UACGCUGGCGGCACGCCUUAUACAUGCAAGUCGAACGAAGUAGCAAUACUUAGUGGCAGACGGGUGAGUAACAUGUAGGUAUCUGCCCUUUGGCCUGGAAUAACACGAGGAAACUUGUGCUAAUACCGGAUAAGUCUUUACGGAGAAAGCUUUAUGCACCAUUGGAUGAGCCUGCACUUGAUUAGUUUGUUGGUGGGGUAAUGGCCUACCAAGACAAUGAUCAAUAGCUGAUUUGAGAGGAUGAUCAGCCACAUUGGAACUGAGACACGGUCCAAACUCCUACGGGAGGCAGCAGUAGGGAAUCUUGCACAAUGGAGGAAACUCUGAUGCAGCGAUGCCGCGUGAGUGAAGAAGGCCUUUGGGUUGUAAAGCUCUUUCGUCGGGGAAGAAAAUGACUGUACCCGAAUAAGAAGGUCCGGC